rnacentral:rRNA from 1 species
UACCGUGAGGGAAAGGUGAAAAGCACCCCGGAAGGGGAGUGAAAUAGAACCUGAAACCGUGUGCUUACAAGUAGUCAGAGCCCGUUAAUGGGUGAUGGCGUGCCUUUUGUAGAAUGAACCGGCGAGUUACGAUUUGAUGCAAGGUUAAGCAGUAAAUGUGGAGCCGUAGCGAAAGCGAGUCUGAAUAGGGCGUUUAGUAUUUGGUCGUAGACCCGAAACCAGGUGAUCUACCCUUGGUCAGGUUGAAGUUCAGGUAACACUGAAUGGAGGACCGAACCGACUUACGUUGAAAAGUGAGCGGAUGAACUGAGGGUAGCGGAGAAAUUCCAAUCGAACCUGGAGAUAGCUGGUUCUCUCCGAAAUAGCUUUAGGGCUAGCCUCAAGUGAUGAUUAUUGGAGGUAGAGCACUGUUUGGACGAGGGGCCCCUCUCGGGUUACCGAAUUCAGACAAACUCCGAAUGCCAAUUAAUUUAACUUGGGAGUCAGAACAUGGGUGAUAAGGUCCGUGUUCGAAAGGGAAACAGCCCAGACCACCAGCUAAGGUCCCAAAAUAUAUGUUAAGUGGAAAAGGAUGUGGCGUUGCCCAGACAACUAGGAUGUUGGCUUAGAAGCAGCCAUCAUUUAAAGAGUGCGUAAUAGCUCACUAGUCGAGUGACACUGCGCCGAAAAUGUACCGGGGCUAAACAUAUUACCGAAGCUGUGGAUUGUCCUUUGGACAAUGGUAGGAGAGCGUUCUAAGGGCGUUGAAGCAUGAUCGUAAGGACAUGUGGAGCGCUUAGAAGUGAGAAUGCCGGUGUGAGUAGCGAAAGACGGGUGAGAAUCCCGUCCACCGAUUGACUAAGGUUUCCAGAGGAAGGCUCGUCCGCUCUGGGUUAGUCGGGUCCUAAGCUGAGGCCGACAGGCGUAGGCGAUGGAUAACAGGUUGAUAUUCCUGUACCACCUAUAAUCGUUUUAAUCGAUGGGGGGACGCAGUAGGAUAGGCGAAGCGUGCGAUUGGAUUGCACGUCUAAGCAGUAAGGCUGAGUAUUAGGCAAAUCCGGUACUCGUUAAGGCUGAGCUGUGAUGGGGAGAAGACAUUGAGUCUUCGAGUCGUUGAUUUCACACUGCCGAGAAAAGCCUCUAGAUAGAAAAUAGGUGCCCGUACCGCAAACCGACACAGGUAGUCAAGAUGAGAAUUCUAAGGUGAGCGAGCGAACUCUCGUUAAGGAACUCGGCAAAAUGACCCCGUAACUUCGGGAGAAGGGGUGCUCUUUAGGGUUAACGCCCAGAAGAGCCGCAGUGAAUAGGCCCAAGCGACUGUUUAUCAAAAACACAGGUCUCUGCUAAACCGUAAGGUGAUGUAUAGGGGCUGACGCCUGCCCGGUGCUGGAAGGUUAAGAGGAGUGGUUAGCUUCUGCGAAGCUACGAAUCGAAGCCCCAGUAAACGGCGGCCGUAACUAUAACGGUCCUAAGGUAGCGAAAUUCCUUGUCGGGUAAGUUCCGACCCGCACGAAAGGCGUAACGAUUUGGGCACUGUCUCAACGAGAGACUCGGUGAAAUCAUAGUACCUGUGAAGAUGCAGGUUACCCGCGACAGGACGGAAAGACCCCGUGGAGCUUUACUGUAGCCUGAUAUUGAAAUUCGGCACAGCUUGUACAGGAUAGGUAGGAGCCUUUGAAACGUGAGCGCUAGCUUACGUGGAGGCGCUGGUGGGAUACUACCCUAGCUGUGUUGGCUUUCUAACCCGCACCACUUAUCGUGGUGGGAGACAGUGUCAGGCGGGCAGUUUGACUGGGGCGGUCGCCUCCUAAAAGGUAACGGAGGCGCUCAAAGGUUCCCUCAGAAUGGUUGGAAAUCAUUCAUAGAGUGUAAAGGCAUAAGGGAGCUUGACUGCGAGACCUACAAGUCGAGCAGGGUCGAAAGACGGACUUAGUGAUCCGGUGGUUCCGCAUGGAAGGGCCAUCGCUCAACGGAUAAAAGCUACCCCGGGGAUAACAGGCUUAUCUCCCCCAAGAGUUCACAUCGACGGGGAGGUUUGGCACCUCGAUGUCGGCUCAUCGCAUCCUGGGGCUGUAGUCGGUCCCAAGGGUUGGGCUGUUCGCCCAUUAAAGCGGUACGCGAGCUGGGUUCAGAACGUCGUGAGACAGUUCGGUCCCUAUCCGUCGUGGGCGUAGGAAAUUUGAGAGGAGCUGUCCUUAGUACGAGAGGACCGGGAUGGACAUACCUCUGGUGUACCAGUUGUCGUGCCAACGGCAUAGCUGGGUAGCUAUGUGUGGACGGGAUAAGUGCUGAAAGCAUCUAAGCAUGAAGCCCCCCUCAAGAUGAGAUUUCCCAACUUCGGUUAUAAGAUCCCUCAAAGAUGAUGAGGUUAAUAGGUUCGAGGUGGAAGCAUGGUGACAUGUGGAGCUGACGAAUACUAAUCGAUCGAAGACUUAAUCAA